rnacentral:lncRNA from 1 species
CCCCCCAGCCCCCGCCAGCCUUUGCUGGCCCUGAUGCCCCUCCUCCUCCCGAUCUGCCAGUCUCCCUUCCUCCUACCCUCUGUCCCAUUUUCUGUUUGUCCCGCUGAAUCCGUAGUGUUUCAGAGGCACUUCUCCGGCCCAGGCUCUAUGCCUAGAAAGUGGGGAUCCUCUUUGGCCUGGGUUGACCCUGUGACAGGCACAGGACUGAUAGGACACUUGUCCAUCUGCCACCCGGCCCCAGCCUUGGACGAGGCCUGGCACGGAGCAAGCCAGGUUCUGGGACCCAUGAGCAGCAUUUUCAGCCUGCCCUGGUGUUCUCAUUUGUGGGACAGGGCUUUGCAGCUAGGCACAUCAUCGCUGCAAGUUUCUGCCGACCCCUGCACAUUUCUCACUCUGUUUCCCCUGUGGACUUCACUGUCUCAAAGAGGGUGGGAAAACAGUAGUGAAGCUUCAUAAUUCCUUACAUUUGGAUAAGAGUUCCCCAGACCCUUUCACAUUCAGUAAUGUCACUGGAUCCUCCUGUCAACACCAGAAGAUGAACGAUGAGGAGACCGAGGUUCCGAAAGGUGGGGGCAGUACUAAAGAGAGAGUAAGAGUAUGUCUGCUUGGUGGGAGAGGACAGCAGGAUGUCUUCUCUGCACCUGUACCAGCCCCGGUGUGGUGAGGAGCAGGCAGGGCUCCGCUCCUCAUCGUUAAAGCCCGGGCUGGCUCCAGCUGGACCCUAUUCAAGUGCGAUGGUCACAGGCACUACAGGCUACCAGCCUCCCAGCAGCACACUGAGGGACCAGGCAAGAGCAGCCUGGGGGCACCCAGACAAGAGGGCACCAGGCAUUUGGGUUGGAGGAGGAGGAGGAGAAACAAGACAUAGAAUCAUAGAGGGGUUCUUCCACAGGAGCUGGGGACUAGGAGACAGUAACUGCUUAGAGAGAGUCGGAGGAAUGUGGCGGAAGCAAGGCCUGGGAGUCAGCCUAGAGGAAGCAGGAGACUGGGAAGCAUCUCACCGUCCGUCACUGGGGGCCUGGUAAAAUAGAUUAUGACACAGUCUUCAGAUGCUUCACUAGAAAGCCUUUACCCAGCGUGAGGCAGUUCUCCAGCUUGCCAUGUGAGAGUAUCCCCAAACCAAGAAGUUACAGGAGUGAGGCCAAGAUCAGUGGGCACAGUUAUGCAUAUUUCACACAAGAUACAUCCACAUCGGCACUUACCUGUCCAGAAUGUCUCUGGAAAGAUGUACGAGAAACAGGCGCUGAGGUCAGGGAUGAGAAGGAGCCUCACUUUUUACUGUAUGCCCUUUUGUCCUUUUAGAGUUUUCAUUAAUCGGAUCUUUUUUUUAACCAUGUGUAUACAUGAUCACCAGAGAGAGAGAGACAGGAGGGAGGGAGAGAGGCAGGAGGGCAGAGAGCUCAGGCAAAGGGAACUGAAU